CCUGCAGCUGCCGGCGGCCGGCGGCGCCGAGGAGCCGCCCCGCCGGCCCGGCACGCCCGGCGGCCGCCGCCGCGUCGACGACCACGCCGUCCAGAAGAGCAAGCAGGACAUGCAGAACUGCUUCGGCUUCGAUGACGAGGAGGACGAGGUGGACUUCAUGGCGACCGGCAAGAAGGAGGCCGUCGAUAUGAUGUAGGCGACCCGUCACCUCUCUGACUGGACGGUCUCGAGCGGACAGUGACUAUGGAGGCGCCACCGCUCCGCCAGCGGGGUGGGCGCCGUCGGACCGCGGUGCGCGUGCGCGCGUCGGCUCGUGAGCGGGAUGUCCAUCGCCCACCGAAGCCUCUCGCCUGACUUGCGGGUGGCGGCGCCGGCGCCUGAUCACGACCGCCGCGGCUCUGACGGCCCCGCUCGGCCAUCGGUGGCGGUCGCUGCCCGCCGCUACACUGCAGCAUGACGGGGCGGAAGCGGUGUGGUGGAGCCUGCCGCAGCCAGGCGGUGGCGUACGGCUCGGGCCGGUCGCGCAGUAUUCGUGUGUGGCUGUUCAAUGCCCGGAUGCGGCAAUAUCGCAUCGAGCCGAGCGUGUGUCGUGCUUGUCCGGGUGCACGCUUGAUCUGUCCUUGGGCGACGCCGUGUGGGCCGUUCCGUACCGAGACGCUCGUAACGCACACCGGACUGGACGCCCGGCCGCACAUCAGCAGGCUGAGCGACGACGGCGUUUGGUGGCCGUGACCCGAUGCACGUCGAUGACCUAUGUAACUUAUAUUUAGGUGAUGCCGAGAGUUGGAAUGCUGCCGCAGCACCAGGGUAUGCAGGAGCCGCCGUGGUCGCUGGUUUUGUACGGAGGGUUUGUCGGUGGUUGGCGGGUCCGUGACGCGGCGCGAGCGUCAGCGACUGGCGCUCGCGGGGCCCGGCGGCAUUCGCUGCGUGUGUCGAGUGGCGCCGCCGCCUGGUGCGAGCCCGCUGCCGGGCGCGCGUCUCGGUGGCGUGGUCUCUUCUCUUGCCGUGUGGAGCUGGUGCGGCGGCGGCCGCUGGUGCAGCGCCUCUGGCCGGCGUGUGUGGCGAUCUCUGCAGCUCGGCGCCGCGCUGACGGGGAGCCGACUGAUGCCGGCGUCACUGCCGGGGCUGGAAACGCCCCGUGGCCCGGACCGGACCGGCGCAGUGGCCGGACGGGGGACCUUCCGCCGGCCCGUGUGGGGUCCAGUUCUCGGUGUCGCGUUUUGGAUUCAAGAUUCGUGUUAUCCGGACCCAAUGUCUGUAUUUGUGUCAUGUGGUGGUGAUACACCGUAGAUCUAUCCAUGUA